UACGAAGGGGGCUAGCGUUGCUCGGAAUCACUGGGCGUAAAGGGCGCGUAGGCGGGUUUUUAAGUCAGAGGUGAAAUCCUGGAGCUCAACUCCAGAACUGCCUUUGAUACUGGGAAUCUUGAGUAUGGAAGAGGUGAGUGGAACUGCGAGUGUAGAGGUGAAAUUCGUAGAUAUUCGCAAGAACACCAGUGGCGAAGGCGGCUCACUGGCCCGGUACUGACGCUGAGGUGCGAAAGCGUGGGGAGCAAACAGG
rnacentral:rRNA from 1 species